AUUGAACGCUGGCGGCAGGCCUAACACAUGCAAGUCGAACGAGUGGCGGACGGGUGAGUAAUAUCUGGGAAACUGCCCGAUGGGGGGGGAUAAAUACUGGACACGGUAGCUAAUACCGCAUACCAGCAGAUAUGCACAGAUGGGAGUCGAUAGGAGGUGGGGUAACGGCUCACCUAGGCGACGAUCCCUAGCUGGUCUGAGAGGAUGACCAGCCACACUGGGACUGAGACACGGUCCAGACUCCUACGGGAGGCAGCAGUGGGGAAUAUUGCACAAUGGGCGCAAGCCUGAUGCAGCCAUGCCGCGUGUAUGAAGAAGGCCUUCGGGUUGUAAAGUACUUUCAGCGGGGAGGCGUUACCCGCAGAAGAAGCACCGGCUAACUCCGUGCCAGCAGCCGCGGUAAUAC
rnacentral:rRNA from 1 species